CGUAGGCAACAAGUUGUUGGCCAUGUUUUAAAACAGUUGAAAGCGGUGCUGAUAAAGAGUGAUGCUAACUGUAAAGUAACUCCUUGAUUAUUCAAUUGGUUGGAAUCGUGUCCUCUUUUUUGUGGAAGUGAAGUGGUUACGCGUUUAAGUGAUUUGUAGAGUUUUAAGUGAUGUAAGUUUAAUUUAGAGGGAAGAGUUGUUUGUGAUCUUGUAAGCAUGUAGGCAUGCUGGAGUCUUGUACGAGGAAAGGUUGUUUGUUUACAUCGUAACCAUGGAAAUCAUCAGUGUUGACAGUGCGUGUGAUAUGCGUCGUGUGGAUAGCUGAUAGAAAGUAUGAAGAAGCAGACUCAGUGUCCGACAGUUGAUGUUCGAUUGCAACAGAUCGGUAGGAGUGCUUGUACAUUCUUAAAGUGACUGACUUUGUUUCAUAUUAGAAGACAAGCGUUUUUUGAAAUAAAGUGGUGAUAAAAUGACUAGUCGACGAAAGCGACGGCAACAAGAUGGUUUCAUGAAGAAAGUGUCGUCACUUUUCAAUCUGGAUACGAAAUCUUAAGUGACACCGCGUAGACAGCUUCGCCCAGGCCCCGAACCCCUCUGGGGAAGUUUCUGCCCGAAGUACUGGGAAUCUCUGUCCGUCGUCAAGUCCAGACCAGGUGCGGAGCCCGCUUUACUGUCUCCAUCAUCGGCCUGAUGAUGGAGGCAAGGACUGAAAUGUUAGUAAACGUCUAACAGACUACACGGCGCUACAACCCAGAAGACAGCCAUCUUUCGUACUGACCGCCGUGACAACCUCAACUCCUACGAAGUCGUGUCCCGGCCAGACAUACGGAAAUUCAAACGUUGGUUCGGACUGGGUUCUUCAAGAGGUCACCAGGACAGACUCACCCAGGCUUGAAAAUAAUGGACAGGCGUUUCGGAUCUUUGAAACUGUUGUGCGUUGAAUAUGCUGGAGUCUGUCGUGGUCUUCUGGGUCGUAACGCCAUGAGUGAUGAAGGCGAUAGGUUCCUCCGAAACGUUUACAAGAACGCACAGGAUCAUAGUGUGUUCCAGGGCGUCAGAAGACUUCAGUCGACACCUCUACCGGCGUGGAAACUUAAAUCUCAGUGUAUGGAUGUUACCUCCAGUCUAUUGCUACUGCUUAGGUCGUCUGCUCUUGCAUUUCGCCUGGAAAAGUGGCAAACUUGCAUGGACAGUUUCUGGUGUAGUAGUGAAACCGACUAAUUGUUAUAACUUGUGAACGGCUAUUCGGACAUUUACAUGAUCCAAGUCUCCAGUCUUCCGGACCCCGGGUAGGAAUUAGACUAAAAUUUAGGUUACAGUGUAAUGUAUUAGAAACGUUGGAGUAAUAAAAUCUUGUAAUGCUACAGACUGGAGCCAGAAUGUUUUGCAGUGAAACUUCAGUAAUUAGUUUUGGAACUGCGCUGUGUGUUAAGCUGUAAAUGGACAGGCUGAUUUAUAGACCGAACCUUCAGCACGUCCAUCAUAAAACGGUCGUCAGUGUGUUAUAGGGACCGUGUAGCUUACGCAUUGUGCGUUUUUGUGUGUCCGAAUGGCUCGUCCGGCUUGGAAUGAGUGAGAAAAAUAGAAGCAUGCAGUUGCAGGAAAUCGAGGGUUAAAUUCAGCGUUGCAUGCUUUGUUGGUAGAACAUUGUUAUGGUCUAGUCUUGAGAAUAGUUUCCGGACAAAUCAGUGGUCUUUGCUUCAAUCCCAGCCUGUUGAAGUAAAUUUUACACGUAUCCUUUGCUGCCGAGUUGUAGCCAUCUUCAUUAACAUUACCCGUGCCUGGACGAUAUUAUCAACUUUUCUGUAAUUUGUAACUCUAAAUUAAUACACUUAAGAGAAAUGUGAAAUUCGAACAUAUUUUUCUCAAACAUUGUGUGAUGAAGCAGGAAAUCCGAUUAGAUAUACUAUGAACAUGUUUCUAUCAAGACAUCUCGUUUAAUUUGUUAUCCACAUUUUAAAGAUUUUGAAACCCCUCUCCCCUUUCGUCACUAGCACAAGCAAUUGGCCCACUAUUCCACUACUACAUAGUAAUUAAAAUCAUUAAAAAGCUGUCUUGUUUCUAUGAUUCUCAGAAUGUGUUAUCACCGAUUUACACAACGAAAGCACGUGUGCGUUUUUCCUCUACUUGUGUGUAUAUGAAUGUAUACGCUCGCGCGUUUACAUAUCCGAUUAUUUCAAUAUUCCAGUGGAAAUCCGUUAUAAUUUGUGGAAAAUUUGGGUGGAAAGUACUUGCAUGUUCAUUACAGUUGACUGACUUUCACAAGUUUCAAGAUUUAGUGUCUAGUUUCGUAGCGCAUAUUUUGUAACAAGCUUGCUGUUUGCCUUUUAAUGUACUUGACAGCAAUAUAAAGUUUGUAUUCAAACAACUAAGGAGUUUUAAUCUCGCAAAGGAAGUACAUGUAAGAAGACUGGUGUCACUUCUUGGAACUUAUUAUUUCGGGCACUCGUAUAUAACUUUAC